UAUCUUUCUAGUUCUCUCUUC
ensembl:piRNA 21ur-2020 ncRNA